rnacentral:misc_RNA from 1 species
CGAAAUGCGAUAAGUAAUGUGAAUUGCAGAAUUCCGUGAAUCAUCGAAUCUUUGAACGCACAUUGCGCCCUCUGGCAUUCCGGGGGGGCAUGCCUGUCCGAGCGUCAUUACGCACCCUCAAGCCCGGCUUGUGUGAUGGGCCCCGGCGUCUCGUUCGCGAGACGGGCCCGAAAGGCAGCGGCGGCGUCGACCCGAUGAGCCCGAGCGUAUGGUGACUUCUGUCACACGUUCGCGGUGCGGACCGGCGCCUGCUUUGACUUUUCUGAUUAUCCAGGUUGACCUCGGAUCAGGUAGGGAUACCCGCUGAACUUAAGC